UCCUUGUACUUCAUUUUGCAGCCAGCAGAUACUAAAACUUCAUGGUCUCCAUAACAGUGUAAGCAAAGUCCUCACCCACAUCUAUGUGCAACUGAUUUUUGACAAGGGAGCCCAAAACAUCAUAUGCAGAAAGGAUGGUCUUGUCAACAAAUUGUACCAGGAAUUAGGCUGAAACAUGAGGAAGAAAACAGGAUUACAUGUCACCCUGCCUCAAAGUCAUCCCCUAAUUGAUCAAAGGUAUAGAUAUUGAGCCAGAAACCAUCAAAUACAUAGAAAAAAAAUUGGCAGAACACUCCAGGAUGUUCCCUUCAGAAAUGUCUUUGUAGACUCUAGUCUCAAUAGCAAGGAAAACAAAAAACAAAAAAAAAUAAAUGUCUUCAUAAAACUGAAAAUCUGUGCAGAAGAGUAAACCAUAACCAAAACAGAAAGACACCCUGAGAAUGGAAGAUCUUUAUAUACCAAACAUCAGAUAAAGGACUAACAACUAAAAUACAUAAAGAAUACACUAAUCUCAGCAACAAGAAGCAAACAACCCCAGUAAAAAAAAUGGAUAAAGGACAUGGGCAGAACUUUCACCAAAGAACAUAUUCAGAUGGCAAACAGACAUGAAAAAUACUCAAAAUCACCUAUUAUCAGGGAAAUACAAGACAACAAUGAAAUGCUACUUUACACCUUGGAGAAUGGCAUAUCAUAGAAAGGGCAAAAACAAUAAUAUUGGAUGAAGACACUGAAAAAAAAAAAGAAACCCGUACAGACUGUUAGUGGGAAUGUGUAUUGGUCCAAUUUCUGUGGAAAACAGUUUGAAGAUUCCUCAGAACACUAGAAAUAAAUCUACUCUGUGGCCUAGCAAUUUCUCUUCUAAAGAUUUAUCACCUCCCCCAAAAUCAAAAACGUCUAUCCAAAGACAUUUGUUUACAACAGCACAGUUCAUAAUGGCCUAACUUGGAAACAACUCAGAUGCCCAAUGCCAGUUGGAUGGCUAAGGAAGUUGUGAUCUGUAGACACUAUAGAAAACUAUUCUGCUAUAAGAAAUGAUGCCAUCUCCUUUGCCACAUGGAACUUGAAGGAGUCAUAGUGAGGAAAGCAAAGGAUUCUAGGGGAGAAGGAAACAAGAGGAUAGAGGGAAUAUUAGAGACUCAAUGAUGGUGGAGAAAGACAAAUUGGUGAUAACCAACUUAAAGAACCCCUUCAAAGUGAUCUCAGGAAUGUGCUGAAGACGUUGGAAAAGGGCAGCUCAAGUCUCAAGCCAUUGGUCAGAGGAAGAACUGUAAAAUCCGAGUCUUCUGUAUUUGACCAUUGUGAGAGUGAGAAAUGAACGUUUAUGGUGUUAAA